UACGAAGAGGGCUAGCGUUGCUCGGAAUUACUGGGCGUAAAGGGAGCGUAGGCGGAUAGUUAAGUCAGAGGUGAAAGCCCAGGGCUCAACCUUGGAAUUGCCUUUGAUACUGGCUAUCUUGAGUAUGGGAGAGGUAAGCGGAACUCCGAGUGUAGAGGUGAAAUUCGUAGAUAUUCGGAAGAACACCAGUGGCGAAGGGCGGCUUACUGGCCCAUUACUGACGCUGAGGCUCGAAAGCGUGGGGAGCAAACAGG
rnacentral:rRNA from 1 species